rnacentral:sRNA from 1 species
UGUUGUGUUCACCAGAAUGCCAUACUGC